GCGGGAUUAGUAUAAUGGUAGUACGUGGCCUUCCCAAGGCUAAAGCGCCGGUUCGAUUCCGGUAUUCCGCU
rnacentral:tRNA from 1 species